rfam:Triticum aestivum genome assembly, contig: Triticum_aestivum_CS42_TGACv1_scaffold_471580_6AL
GGAGUACUCCAUCCGUCACAAAAUUCUUGUCUUAAAUUUGUUUAGAUACGAAGGUAUCUAAUAUUAAAACGUGACUUGAUACAUCCAUAUUUAGACAAACCUAAGACAAGAAUUUUAGGACGGAGGGAGUACUUC